rnacentral:rRNA from 1 species
AAUAGAUACCCAGGUAGUCCACGCCGUAAACGAUGAAUACUAGGUGUAGGAGGUAUCGACCCCUUCUGUGCCGCAGUUAACACAAUAAGUAUUCCGCCUGGGGAGUACGAUCGCAAGAUUAAAACUCAAAGGAAUUGACGGGGGCCCGCACAAGCAGCGGAGCAUGUGGUUUAAUUCGAAGCAACGCGAAGAACCUUACCUAGACUUGACAUCUCCUGAAUUACCCUUAACCGGGGAAGCCCUUCGGGGCAGGAAGACAGGUGGUGCAUGGUUGUCGUCAGCUCGUGUCGUGAGAUGUUGGGUUAAGUCCCGCAACGAGCGCAACCCUUAUCAUUAGUUGCUACCAUUAAGUUGAGCACUCUAGUGAGACUGCCACGGUUAACGUGGAGGAAGGUGGGGAUGACGUCAAAUCAUCAUGCCCCUUAUGUCUAGGGCUACACACGUGCUACAAUGGUGAGUACAAAGAGAUGCAAUACCGUGAGGUGGAGCCAAACUCAAAAACUCAUCCCAGUUCGGAUUGUAGGCUGAAACUCGCCUAC